rnacentral:rRNA from 1 species
GAUGAACGCUGGCGGCGUGCCUAAUACAUGCAAGUCGAGCGAACGGACGAGAAGCUUGCUUUUCUGAUGUUAGCGGCGGACGGGUGAGUAACACGUGGAUAACCUACCUACAAGACUGGGAUAACUUCGGGAAACCGGAGCUAAUACCGGAUAAUAUUUUGAACCGCAUGGUUCAAAAGUGAAAGACGGUCUUGCUGUCACUUAUAGAUGGAUCCGCGCUGCAUUAGCUAGUUGGUAAGGUAACGGCUUACCAAGGCAACGAUGCAUAGCCGACCUGAGAGGGUGAUCGGCCACACUGGAACUGAGACACGGUCCAGACUCCUACGGGAGGCAGCAGUAGGGAAUCUUCCGCAAUGGGCGAAAGCCUGACGGAGCAACGCCGCGUGAGUGAUGAAGGUCUUCGGAUCGUAAAACUCUGUUAUUAGGGAAGAACAUAUGUGUAAGUAACUGUGCACAUCUUGACGGUACCUAAUCAGAAAGCCACGGCUAACUACGUG